rnacentral:rRNA from 1 species
UGGGAAGUAUUGCACAAUGGCGCAAGCCUGACUGCAGCCAUGCCGCGCUGUAUGAAGAAGGCCAUUCGGGCUUUGGUUAAAGAUACUUUUCAGCGAGGAGGAAGGCAUUAAGGUUAAUAACCUUAGUGAUUGACGUUACUCGCAGAAGAAGCACCGGCUAACUCCGUGCCAGCAGCCGCGGUAAUACGGAGGGUGCAAGCGUUAAUCGGAAUUACUGGGCGUAAAGCGCACGCAGGCGGUCUGUCAAGUCGGAUGUGAAAUCCCCCGGGCUCAACCUGGGAACUGCAUUCGAAACUGGCAGGCUAGAGUCUUGUAGAGGGGU